rnacentral:rRNA from 1 species
AUGCCUCUGCAGAUAUCAAAAAAUAAUCAAACAAGGCCAAGCGGACGGCAUCGACGUCGAUCUCGGCUCCGUUUGAUCGCUCCUACGACGUCACGAGCGAUCAUGGCGGAUGCUUCUGAGGAGUGCACUGAGCAAAACGUGAAAGAGCUCUCCGAGAACAUUAUAGGACAGCUGUGGCGAGUGGAGGCGAUGCUGCUCCUCAACACUAUCUUUGCAGGAGUCAUAGUUGGAAUUGGCGCCUAUGGCCACCGUUAUCGCCACUAUGGUUUCACCCGCUAUCUCAUGCUGGGGGUAACCACCUUGUUCCUACCCGUCAUAUCUUACGUCAUCUCGGCAAGUGGCUCAGUGGAUCAUCCCUUUCAUGUUCUUAUCCACGAAGAAUUGAUAGCCAAUUGCUGGGCACCAGGCCUGCACACAAGCAUGGUCAUAACAUCCACCUGCCUUGUUUUGAUUUGUGCUAUCAAUACAAGCCCGGUAGUUGCUACUGAUGAUCGAGAAGAUCGAAGUGUACGCCCCCCCUUUGAACUUCUUGUUCAAGGAAUUUGGAUUCUUUACCUAGCUAUCCCCAGCAUUGGUGGUGGACGAUCUUUUGAGUUCGCAAGAGCUUAUUUCAUAAUAACACCUUUUGCUCUUAUUUAUGCCAAAAUGGCAUUGAAAUGUUAUGCAUUUCUAAAGGCCCGGAAAUCCUUUGCACUCGGACGGAAUCCUCGUCUUAUUGUUGGAUAUAUGCAGCAACUGUUGCGAGAAGAAGGAGAUGAUCAACAUGGUGAGGAGGAUGUGAAUGUGCCUCCACCACCACUUGUAGUUACGGGUGAGGACAAACGGCAAGUCGAGAAGCAACCUGAACCUCAUGGUUACAUGUUCAGAAAUAACAUGAAGGCACUUCAAGAUGGCAACUUGGUGACCAUUGAAAGAGUUUGGCAGUUGGACACCAUGUUUCUGAUGCCAAUGCCACAACGACUGAAAGAUAUAUGCUUGUCAUUUGCAUUAUUCAAAUUGCUAAGGUGUCGAUUUGCAAGGUACAAACUCGCUAACGUUAUCACCAAGGAGACCAUCAAAUUCGUCAGAAGGGUCAUGCUAAAGGAUGGUGAACAUGAAAGAGCGUUCAGGAUGAUUGCAGAUGAGCUUUCUUUUCUUCAUGAUUAUUAUGAUUCACCACUCCCAGUCCUCUACCCAGGUAGCUGGUUUACUACAACAUUAAGUAUGGUCAUCUCACUCUUGAGCAUAUGUUACUGCAUACUUUAUGUUCUGGACGUCAUCAAAGAAGCUAGGAUAUUUCCUCAGGAGAGGGCCAUAAUUAGUUGCAUGUACUUCUGUUCUAUGAGCAAACUCGGGAGGCGUAACCAACGAGCAAUAAGGUUUGGACGUCUGCAUUUUGAUCUAGUGCCAGGUCUGUUACUCACUGUGUUCGUCGUGGUUGCUGAGGCGAGGGAUAUUGCUUCCCACAUAUGCUCUAGCUGGACCAAAGUAAUUCUCACCUGCCGCUGUGUGCGCCGUGCCUCCUUGAAGCUUCCCCCCGUCGUCCCAAAAUGGGUUGGCUGGUUGUUGCGAUGCAGAUGCGACUGGUUGCUGAGGCAUUGGAACGACAAAAUGAGACAAAGCUCAUUGCUGGUGUUUCAACGCAUGCAAUUUCACCAACUUGUUUUACCUGGCUGCCUCCUUCGUUUGCUGGACCGAAAGAGCAAUAAUGUCAAGGUACCAUCAGAAGUGAAGGCUUGCAUCAUCAACGCCCUAAGAAGUACUAGUGGAAGCAAUGGAGCUGGUCUAAGCAAAGGCAUGACAACCCUGCGCCAGAGCCAAAUUGGCAGAAGCUUACUCUGGGCCUGCAACAACAGCAAAGGUACAUCUGACACCAUACUUGUGUGGCACAUCGCCACAGCCAUCCUUGAGGUGAGGCACCCACACCAUCAAGGAGAUGGCCGGCCUUCUUCUGUUUCUGACAUGAAGAGCGCCGCCACUCACCUGUCGCGCUAUUGCGCGUAUCUAGUGGAGUUCUGCCCCGAGCUACUUCCUGAUGAUGAUGCAUGGAGCAAGCACCUGUACAAGAAAGUCAAGAAGGAUGCCAAGCGAGCCCUUGCCACCGGCGGUGGCACACCAGUGUCGUCCAUGACUCCGGAAGCAGCGUACCAGAAGUUGGUCGAGUUGUUGGGCGCUACACAGAAUCAUGAGGUGCUCAAGGAUGCCGCAAAGCUUGCAAAGCAGCUCAGGGAGCUGGCUGGAGGCGAGGAAAUGGAGUGGGAGUUGCUGGCCGGGUUUUGGUCGGAGUUGAUCCUUUACCUGGCUCCGUCGGACAAUCUCAAAGGGCACCUGCAGGCCGUCGAUCGGGGCGGCGAGCUGAUCACGCUCCUCUGGGCCUUGAUCACCCACAUCGGGAUCAUCGACAGGCCCGGCGACACCGCUGCAAGUGCUCCAGCCAUUGGUGUUUAA